rnacentral:rRNA from 1 species
AUUGAACGCUGGCGGCAGGCCUAACACAUGCAAGUCGAGCGGAUGAAGGGAGCUUGCUCCUGGAUUCAGCGGCGGACGGGUGAGUAAUGCCUAGGAAUCUGCCUGGUAGUGGGGGAUAACGUCCGGAAACGGGCGCUAAUACCGCAUACGUCCUGAGGGAGAAAGUGGGGGAUCUUCGGACCUCACGCUAUCAGAUGAGCCUAGGUCGGAUUAGCUAGUUGGUGGGGUAAAGGCCUACCAAGGCGACGAUCCGUAACUGGUCUGAGAGGAUGAUCAGUCAACCGGGAACGGAGAAACGGUCCAGACCCCUAGGGGGGGCAGGAGGGGGGAAUUUUGGAAAAUGGGCGAAAGCCUGAUCCAGCCAGGCCGGGUGGGGGAAGAAGGUUUGCGGUUUGUAAAGCACUUUAAGUUGGGAGAAAGGGCAGUAAGUUAAAACCUUGCUGUUUUGACGUUACCAACAAAAUAAGCACCGGCUAACUCCGG